rnacentral:rRNA from 1 species
AGUGAACGCUGGCGGCAGGCCUAACACAUGCAAGUCGAACGGCAGCACAGUAAGAGCUUGCUCUUACGGGUGGCGAGUGGCGGACGGGUGAGGAAUACAUCGGAAUCUACUUUUUCGUGGGGGAUAACGUAGGGAAACUUACGCUAAUACCGCAUACGACCUACGGGUGAAAGCAGGGGGUCUUCGGACCUUGCGCGAUUGAAUGAGCCGAUGUCGGAUUAGCUAGUUGGCGGGGUAAAGGCCCACCAAGGCGACGAUCCGUAGCUGGUCUGAGAGGAUGAUCAGCCACACUGGAACUGAGACACGGUCCAGACUCCUACGGGAGGCAGCAGUGGGGAAUAUUGGACAAUGGGCGCAAGCCUGAUCCAGCCAUACCGCGUGGGUGAAGAAGGCCUUCGGGUUGUAAAGCCCUUUUGUUGGGAAAGAAAAGCAGCAGGUUAAUACCCCGCUGUUCUGACGGUACCCAAAGAAUAAGCACCGGCUAACUUCGUG